AGAGUUUGAUCAUGGCUCAGGACGAACGCUGGCGGCGUGCUUAACACAUGCAAGUCGAGCGGUAAGGCCUUCGGGUACACGAGCGGCGAACGGGUGAGUAACACGUGGGCGAUCUGCCUCGCACUUCGGGAUAAGCCUGGGAAACUGGGUCUAAUACCGGAUAUGACCUUCCAGUGCAUGCUGGUGGGUGGAAAGAUUUAUCGGUGCGAGAUGGGCCCGCGGCCUAUCAGCUUGUUGGCGGGGUAACGGCCCACCAAGGCGACGACGGGUAGCCGACCUGAGAGGGUGACCGGCCACACUGGGACUGAGACACGGCCCAGACUCCUACGGGAGGCAGCAGUGGGGAAUAUUGCACAAUGGGCGAAAGCCUGAUGCAGCGACGCCGCGUGGAGGAUGACGGCCUUCGGGUUGUAAACUCCUUUCGACAGGGACGAAGCGUAAGUGACGGUACCUGUAGAAGAAGCACCGGCCAACUACGUGCCAGCAGCCGCGGUAAUACGUAGGGUGCGAGCGUUGUCCGGAAUUACUGGGCGUAAAGAGCUUGUAGGCGGUCUGUCGCGUCUUCUGUGAAAACUUGGGGCUCAACCUUAAGCUUGCAGGCGAUACGGGCAGACUAGAGUACUUCAGGGGAGAUGGAAUUCCUGGUGUAGCGGUGAAAUGCGCAGAUAUCAGGAGGAACACCGGUGGCGAAGGCGGGUCUCUGGGAAGUAACUGACGCUGAGAAGCGAAAGCAUGGGUAGAAACAGGAUUAGAUACCCUAGUAGUCC
rnacentral:rRNA from 1 species